rnacentral:misc_RNA from 1 species
AAGAUCUUUAUUUUCUCUCUUAUGGAAACAACGUAAAGUAGUUUUAUCUGAAUAAAGAUACAACCUUAAUGGAUUCCUUUAGAAAAUCCGGCAGGUCAACAGACAUUCUAACUGAAGACGACAGAGCACAGUUUUCUUCGUGGAUUGGUCAGAGAUCACGUUUUGAGUUGCUGUACAAAAUUAGCAGGGAUGGUUGUAGUUCUAAAACUUUUCAUCAACUCUGUGAUGGAAAAGGCCCCACCGUCACUAUUCUAUACAACACAGACAACACCGCUUAUGGAGGGUACCUGUCUCAGAGUUGGGUGUCAUCUGGAACCCACAUCAAAGACCCAGAGAGUUUUUUGUUUACUUUAUCCUAUAAUGGCGUCCAAAAUAGAAGAAAAUUCCCAGUAACCAAUCCUAAAAAGGCAGCUUUUGGACACGUAUAUUUCGGACCAUCUUUUGGAGAUGUUAACGAGACAAAUUGGAGUGAAAGGGAGUCACCAAGGUAUCAAUCUAAAUUGCGUAUGGAAAGUUCCUCUGAUCUGACAACUUUUAGAGACACGGUCACUGCAUUACGAGACAAGGGCAGCGACACUUAUUUCUUCAAUCUGAACGGACGAUCAGAUUUUGGUUCGGCUUACCAAAAACCAACAGUAAAUAUGAAUGCAAUCAACAAUGGUCACAUGUGUGUCUUUGAUCUAGAAGUGUAUUUAGUUAAAGCCGAUGUACAGAUGUCAAGUUUAAAAGGGCCUGAUUUAACAGUCAUAUUAUCUAAAGCAUGGAGAGAGCCGCCUCUAUGGAAUGAACAGAAUUUGCAGUCUUUGAAAGACUUUGUAUCCAGUUACAAGCCAUUGCCUGAUAUGAAGAUCUCGGAGGUCAAUAUUUUACUGGUAGGACAGAUCAACGCUGGAAAGUCUAGUUUUUUCAACUCUUUGAAUUCUAUUUUCCGAGGGGAAAUAUCUUCACGCGCUUGCGCCGGUACUUCACCCCACAGUCUUACAACAAAUGCAAGUAUUUUGCUAUUCUGUAUCUCAGUCAAUAAAAUAUGUUGUUUAAUAUAUUUUUUAUAUCAUUUGGGAAGAGGGUUUAUAAAAAAAGAUAUCAUAAACAGCACACGAGAAGAUAAUUUUGUUUUAUAAUUUUAAGAAAAAGUUGUCUUUUAUCUAAAAGAUAUUAAAAAACCUAUUAUUAAUAUGUCUUAAUUGCUUAAAUUCAUGUUCUUUGUAUUAUCUGACUUUUAUUCGACCAAAGCUUCGGAAAUACAGAAUUCGGAACCGUGAAACAAAAAGCUAUCUGAAUUUCCGUCUUUGUGACACCCGUGGAUUGGAGGAAGAAAUGUCCAUGCAUCUACAGGACAUGGCGCUUCUUCUGGACGGUCACUUAUCAGACCAGUACAAAUUCAACCCAAUGGCGCAUGCCACCCAACGAGAUCCGGGAUUUGUCCUUAACGCGACGUUUCAGGACAAGAUUCACUGUGUUGCUUUUGUAGUAGACGCCAGUUCAAUUGACGUCCUGCAAGCAAACGUUUCACAGAAACUGCUUCAUUUUCGUUCCUUGAUAGUAGAGAGGGGAAUUCCCAAUGUAGUUUAUCUGACAAAACUAGACAAGGUGUGUCCACUUGUUGAUGAAGAUGUUCGAAGAGUCUAUCACAGCCAAGCCUGCAAACAAGCCCUGGAAACCGCGGCUGACGUAAUAGGAAUUCCUCGUGGUCACGUGUUUCCUGUCAAAAAUUAUGAAAAAGAGAGCCAAUUGCAAACUAAUAUAAGUAUUAUGGCACUGACUGCAAUGAGACAGACUCUGGUUUUUGCAGAUGAUUACUUGGAGGACAAAUAUGAACUCAGCCAGUCCCAACAGUAAAUCUGUUAUUGAUAACAGAAGUCCAAAACACAAUUCUUAACUUACACAAAUGUUCAGGAUCAUAAGCAUUUCAAAUAUAAAAUGACACUCGCAAACACCAAAUAAAUGUAUACUUUUUUAAUUAUUAUUAUUUGAUGCUGUUCUUGAUCAUAAGUAAGGUUUUGGGAUUCUGGGUGUCUGGAUAACAUGAGUCUUUGUUUUGAGAGAUUAAUUAUGAAUAAAAUUUCUGUCUUAUCUUC